rnacentral:rRNA from 1 species
GCGCACGCAGGCGGUUUGUUAAGUCAGAUGUGAAAUCCCCGGGCUCAACCUGGGAACUGCAUCUGAUACUGGCAAGCUUGAGUCUCGUAGAGGGGGGUAGAAUUCCAGGUGUAGCGGUGAAAUGCGUAGAGAUCUGGAGGAAUACCGGUGGCGAAGGCGGCCCCCUGGACGAAGACUGACGCUCAGGUGCGAAAGCGUGGGGAGCAAACAGGAUUAGAUACCCUGGUAGUCCACGCCGUAAACGAUGUCGACUUGGAGGUUGUGCCCUUGAGGCGUGGCUUCCGGAGCUAACGCGUUAAGUCGACCGCCUGGGGAGUACGGCCGCAAGGUUAAAACUCAAAUGAAUUGACGGGGGCCCGCACAAGCGGUGGAGCAUGUGGUUUAAUUCGAUGCAACGCGAAGAACCUUACCUGGUCUUGACAUCCACGGAAGUUUUCAGAGAUGAGAAUGUGCCUUCGGGAACCGUGAGACAGGUGCUGCAUGGCUGUCGUCAGCUCGUGUUGUGAAAUGUUGGGUUAAGUCCCGCAACGAGCGCAACCCUUAUCCUUUGUUGCCAGCGGUCCGGCCGGGAACUCAAAGGAGACUGCCAGUGAUAAACUGGAGGAAGGUGGGGAUGACGUCAAGUCAUCAUGGCCCUUACGACCAGGGCUACACACGUGCUACAAUGGCGCAUACAAAGAGAAGCGACCUCGCGAGAGCAAGCGGACCUCAUAAAGUGCGUCGUAGUCCGGAUUGGAGUCUGCAACUCGACUCCAUGAAGUCGGAAUCGCUAGUAAUCGUGGAUCAGAAUGCCACGGUGAAUACGUUCCCGGGCCUUGUACACACCGCCCGUCACACCAUGGGAGUGGGUUGCAAAAGAAGUAGGUAGCUUAACCUUCGGGAGGGCGCUUACCACUUUGUGAUUCAUGACUGGGGUGAAGUCGUAACAAGGUAACCGUAGGGGAACCUGCGGUUGGAUCACCUCCUUACCUUAAAGAAGC